UGGGGGAUAUUGCACAAUGGGCGAAAGCCUGAUGCAGCGACGCCGCGUGGGGGAUGAAGGCCUUCGGGUUGUAAACUUCUUUUGCUCUGAACAAGGCAUGCCUUUGGGGUGUGUUGAGUGUAGGGGUUGAUUAGCGCCGGCUAACUACGUGCCAGCAGCCGCGGUAAUACGUAGGGCGCGAGCGUUGUCCGGAAUUAUUGGGCAUAAAGGGCUUGUAGGUGGCUGGUUGCGUCUGUCGUGAAAGCUCAUGGCUUAACUGUGGGUUUGCGGUGGGUACGGGCUGGCUUGAGUGCAGUAGGGGAGGCUGGAAUUCCUGGUGUAGCGGUGGAAUGCGCAGAUAUCAGGAGGAAUACCGGUGGCGAAGGCGGGUCUCUGGGCUGUUACUGACGCUGAGGAGCGAAAGCGUGGGGAGCGAACAGG
rnacentral:rRNA from 1 species